rnacentral:rRNA from 4 species
UGACCUCGAAUCAGGUAGGACUACCCGCUGAACUUAAGCAUAUCAAUAAGCGGAGGA